rnacentral:piRNA from 1 species
UCAGCUUUGCCCUUCUUAGGGGAGGAGAAC